rnacentral:rRNA from 1 species
UAAGGUGGCUAUAGCAUUGGGGAUCCACCUCUUCCCAUCCCGAACAGAGCAGUUAAGCCCAAUCACGCCGAUGGUACUACGCAAGUGGGNCCUCUUCCCAUCCCGAACAGAGCAGUUAAGCCCAAUCACGCCGAUGGUACUACGCAAGUGGGAGAGUAGGUAGCCGCCACUU